AGGUUUUUUUUUUUUUUUUUCAACAGUCUCAGAACAAGCAAAAGAGAAAUAGAAGUACUAUAAAUAUUGAUUGGCUGUUUAGAAGAGAUCAGAAUCUGGCCUUCAUCAUUCUUGCUUUCUCUCACUCCCGCCAAAAGACGCAACGGUGAAACUUAUUUCUCUCAAUCGAAAAUGCCACCAAAACGAAAGCCCACCACAGCCCCCGCCACCGACGACCCUCCACACCUGCAACCUGGUUCCCAAGUUGAGAUCAGCUCCAACGACCCUGGGUUCCGAGGUUCAUGGUUCACCGGCUCAAUCAUCAAGCGCGCUUCUUUAAGAAACCCUAACAAGUUCGUAGUCCAAUACACCCUCCUUUUCCAAGACGAGGCCGGUACUAAACCUUUGAAGGAAACCAUCGACGCAGUGGAUAUACGCCCUCUGGCCCCUCGAGAAAGAGCAAGAAAGUUCAAGUUCGGUGAAGAGGUGGAUGCUUUUCACAAUGACGGCUGGUGGGAAGGGGUGAUUACUAAGGAGUUGGAGAACGGAAACUUUCAUGUUUAUUUUAAGAGGUCAAAAGAGCAGUUGGAGUUUGGUGAGGACCAGUUGAGGCUUCAUAGAGAGUGGGUUAAUGGGUCUUGGACGCCACCAUUGGAGGAAGAUGAGCAAGUGGAGGAGAAAGUACAAACAGAGAAAGAUUUGAAGUCUAACAAAAUUGUUACUCAAGAGAAGCUGGGGUGUGACAAUGGGACAAGCAAAGAGAAGUUAAAGUCUGACAAAGCAGGGAGUGGAGAGAAAUUGGAGUCUGGCAAGACAACAGAUAAAAAGUUCAAUGAGGGAGAGCAUGUUGAGGUGACCAGUGAUGAAGAUGGUUUCGAAGGUGCUUGGUUUGCUGCCACUAUUGUUAAAGCAGUGGGGAAGGACAGGUACCUAAUUCAGUAUGAGAGCUUGAGAACUGAAGAUGACACUGAUUUCUUAAAGGAAGAGUUUGAUAUCCUGCACAUUAGGCCUUAUCCUCCAGAAGUUGUUGUGGCUGAUCGGUUCAAAAAGCUUGAUGAAGUUGAUGCUUUGUACAAUGAUGGCUGGUGGGUGGGUGUGAUUUCUAAGGUUCUUUCUGAUUCAAAGUAUGAAGUCUACUUUAAGAAUACCAAGGAGAAAAUGAAGUUUAAUGACUCUGAGUUAAGGCUACAUCAGGACUGGAUUGAUGGAAAAUGGGUUGCAGCUUCCCAGGAGAGGUAUCAAGCACGUGCGUGGUCAUAAACGAUACUCAAGCUUGGGGCCUUUUUGUCUGAAUCAAUGUAGCUAUUACAGUUGGUGCUCUGAUUGCUUCCGUAACCUAUUUUAGGCAUUCAUAGGCAUUUUUUUUGGGGACUGUAAUUACCUUAAAAGCAACUUGAACUAAGUAGAGCAUACUAAAACAAAAGUACUUUUAUGACGCGGUGAUUGUUAAUGUAGGUGGUUCAAGCAUUAAAAUAGAGGUUUAAGAAUGGGCCAUCUAAUGGGUUCCGUUGUGGAAGAGGUCCAUUUGAGGCGGUGAGUGGUAGUAGUAGUAUUAGUGCUAACGCAGUAGGCUUUCCUCAUGCUUCUUCCUUUACCACAUUGUUUGAAACA